CCUGACCUACGGGAGGCAGCAGUGGGGGAUAUUGCACAAUGGGGGGAACCCUGAUGCAGCGACGCCGCGUGGGUGAAGAAGCGCCUCGGCGCGUAAAGCCCUGUCAGCAGGGAAGAAAAUGACGGUACCUGAAGAAGAAGCCCCGGCUAACUACGUGCCAGCAGCCGCGGUAAUACGUAGGGGGCAAGCGUUAUCCGGAUUUACUGGGUGUAAAUGGGGCGCAGACGGCGAUGCAAGCCAGGAGUGAAAGCCCGGGGCCCAACCCCGGGACUGCACUUGGAACUGCGUGGCCGGAGGG
rnacentral:rRNA from 1 species